rnacentral:rRNA from 1 species
UACGGAGGGUGCAAGCGUUAUCCGGAUUUACUGGGUUUAAAGGGUGCGUAGGUGGGUCUGUAAGUCAGUGGUGAAAUCUCCGAGCUUAACUCGGAAACUGCCAUUGAUACUGACGGUCUCGAGUCCGGGAGAGGUGAGUGGAACUGCGAGUGUAGAGGUGAAAUUCGUAGAUAUUCGCAAGAACACCAGUGGCGAAGGCGGCCUGCUGGGCUGUUGCUGACGCUGAGGCGCGACAGCGUGGGGAGCAAACAGG